UGCAAGUCGAACGCACAGCGAAAGGUGCUUGCACCUUUCAAGUGAGUGGCGAACGGGUGAGUAACACGUGGACAACCUACCUCAAGGCUGGGGAUAACAUUUGGAAACAGAUGCUAAUACCGAAUAAAACUUAGUGUCGCAUGACACAAAGUUAAAAGGCGCUUCGGCGUCACCUAGAGAUGGAUCCGCGGUGCAUUAGUUAGUUGGUGGGGUAAAGGCCUACCAAGACAAUGAUGCAUAGCCGAGUUGAGAGACUGAUCGGCCACAUUGGGACUGAGACACGGCCCAAACUCCUACGGGAGGCUGCAGUAGGGAAUCUUCCACAAUGGGCGAAAGCCUGAUGGAGCAACGCCGCGUGUGUGAUGAAGGCUUUCGGGUCGUAAAGCACUGUUGUAUGGGAAGAACAGCUAGAAUAGGAAAUGAUUUUAGUUUGACGGUACCAUACCAGAAAGGGACGGCUAAAUACGUGCCAGCAGCCGCGGUAAUACGUAUGUCCCGAGCGUUAUCCGGAUUUAUUGGGCGUAAAGCGAGCGCAGACGGUUUAUUAAGUCUGAUGUGAAAGCCCGGAGCUCAACUCCGGAAUGGCAUUGGAAACUGGUUAACUUGAGUGCAGUAGAGGUAAGUGGAACUCCAUGUGUAGCGGUGGAAUGCGUAGAUAUAUGGAAGAACACCAGUGGCGAAGGCGGCUUACUGGACUGCAACUGACGUUGAGGCUCGAAAGUG
rnacentral:rRNA from 1 species